CGAGAAUAAACCAGUGUGAAAGUCUGCAGUAAGUGAAGCUGAAGGAAUGGCACAUUGACAGCACCUUGCCUCUGUGGCGAUGGCUGAACAUCACCAGUGCUCCCAGGAACGCUCAACUGAAGAUGCUGAAAGAGUGUUGUCCUGCUUAUAAAAAAGUUCACUAUAAAACAGUGUGAAGCCAGCAGCAGCCUCAUACAUCUCCUAUCUACAUACCUACAUUAUCUCUUCGCUGCACGAGGAGGCCACGUCCAGCGAAGACCCAGUACCACCCAGAUUUUCAUAAGUACACUUCAUGUUGUUGAC
rnacentral:lncRNA from 1 species